rnacentral:rRNA from 1 species
UGGGGAAUAUUGGGCAAUGGGGGAAACCCUGACCCAGCAACGCCGCGUGAGGGAAGAAGGUCUUCGGAUUGUAAACCUCUUUUACCAGGGAAGAAGAAAGUGACGGUACCUGGAGAAAAAGCCACGGCUAACUACGUGCC